rfam:Gossypium raimondii Chr03_contig_1066, whole genome shotgun sequence.
UAUUAAAAAUUUCAUCAAUUUGUAUUGUUAAGAAUUAGCGUCGUUGACGGAAUAACAAGAUAGUGACACAUGGCAUGUCAUAUGUACCUCAUGUUAAUGCAUAAUGAUCGGUUUUUAAUAGCAAAAAUAGAUGAAAUUUUUUAACA